AAGUGUGAAACCAAAGAGUGAGGAGGUGGCAAAGUGAGGGAUUAAAGUGAGACAUUUACCCUAAUUAUAUAUAGCUAAGUGAUUUAAUUUUAAGAUCAGCAAAUAUCAUUUGAGUUCAGCAACACCAAACUUCAUCUUGUUCAAUUUAAAACCCUCAUAUGCAAAAAUCUUCAAAUGGCCAUAUCUCAUUCGUUUCUCAACGAAAUUGGACGAUUCUUGCGGCCACGGAACAAGCGCGAGGUCCUCUAUCAAUUAAGCUCAGAAAAUCAAGACUCGGUGAGGCGAAUACCAACGGGACUUGGAACGUAAAGGACGCGGCGUCCCUGUGCUAUUAUCAAAGUUUAUGGAUAGCAAGCGUGUGUUUUUCAGGUACCUAGAUUCUGAACUUGGCUAGAAGUCCGUCUUUAACCGGAAGUUCCUUUGGCUAUGUAUAGCCCCGACUUCCGUAGAUGCUGCAGUAGUGUGAUGUCUGACCAGUGUCGUGGCCUAUUACAGCAGUGAAAUUUUAUAUGGUUUAUAGUUGCUGUCAGUAUGUAUAUAUUUGUUUGGCCACGAUAGUUAUACUUUGUACCACGGAGGUAGAUUCCCGUGAUGUAACUUUGACACUAGUAGUAUAUGCCGGGUUAGUACGUACAAGGUACGGAAACGAUAGACCCGAGCAAGUUGUAAUGUUUUACCAGUGCAAAUAAAUGUGUCUUGUUAAA